CAGUGAAAUGGGAGAGUACGAAAAAGGAAAAAUUUUAUGAACGAGCGAUAGAAAUUGAAACAAAGCAUUUACCUGAACAUGUACUGCAAUAAUAUACAACAAUCUUCAUUUGGUUAUAAACAAACUAUAGAUAUUUAAACUGAAGCAUUUAGACUUCUAUUUAUCUUUUAUUUGCUACAAGAUAAGAUACUCGUCUUUGAGAAAACGUACAAGGAAAAAGAAGAAGAGGAAAUGAAUUUGUAGCUCAUUUUCAAUGAAGAAGAAAUUCGAUUUCUCUUUUCAUUUUAGGUAUGUCUUCUUUUUACUAAAGCUGAUUAGAAACAGUUGUAUUGUAGAUUUCCUUUAACAAAGGUUCAAAGAACAACAGUUGUAUAUUUAUAAAAUAUAUUAUUGACAAUAUUCAAACAUUUGUAUUUUCAAGUUUUCAACUUUCAUUUAUUUACUGGAACAGUUUUUAUUAAGAAACUUGUAUGGAACUAUCAAAGUAUAUUUAUGAGUUUAGUUUGCAAUAUCUAGCUAUUGAGAAGUUGUGAAGUUCCUUAAAAUGAAUGUUGUUGGGUCAUUUUCUUGUAUAAUGAGAGUAAAUACUGAUCUCACAGCAACCAUGAUCAUGUAACAUCCCUUUUUGAAAUGCUGAAAAGCCCACAAGAUUUGCUUUCUAUGUAGUGAUGUAGCCAAGAAAAAUGGAGCUUUUACUCUGAUUAUGUGUGUCUGGCCCAUAUUUACUGUUGUCAUCUCAUAUGUAGUGUAGUGAGUAACGAAAAAGUAAUUGAACAACAAAAUAUUUAUUUUCAUAGCACUGGUAGACUUGCUAUACGCUA